rnacentral:tRNA from 1 species
UGGGGUGUCGCCAAGUGGUAAGGCAUUGGAAUUUGGAUCCACCAUUCAAAGGUUCGAAUCCUUUCACCCCAG